CCCCUCCCCCCAGCUCCCACCCCCUUCACGGCACUCCCUCCUGCGGCCCCGGUUCGCGCCGCCGCCCGACGCAGCGGGCUCCGGAAAGCGCUAACGUGAGAGGCCCUUUCCCGCCUCCGGAGAGGCUUGGGCCGGCGCCAGACCAGCCGCGGGAGGCCCUCCCCCGGCGGCGGCGGGCGGGAACGCCGAGCGGUUCCCAGACGGGGAGAGCCCGCCGGGCCGCCGCUGCUGGGCCGCUCCGUCUCGGUCGGCAGCAUCAGAGGCUGACGAAGCCCGGCCGCGCCGGGCGCCCUCGCCCUCGGCCCAGCCGGAAGGGGCGGCGCGGCGGCGGCGGCGGGUCCCGGCGGCAGGUGGCGGUUGCCGCGGCGCUGGGAAGCCCCGCUGCGGAGCGGAGAUGGCGGACGAGGCGCUUUUCCUGCUGCUGCACAACGAGAUGGUGGCGGGGCUGUACCGCGCCGCCGAGCAGGGCGAAGGGGAGAACGGCCGGUGCACCACCAAGCUGGAGAGCAUGGGCUUCCGCGUCGGGCAGGGGCUGAUCGAGAGGUUUACAAAAGACACUGCCAGGUUCAAGGAUGAAUUAGAUAUUAUGAAGUUCAUUUGCAAAGAUUUUUGGACAACUGUUUUCAAAAAACAAAUAGAUAACCUAAGGACUAAUCAUCAGGGUAUUUAUGUCCUUCAAGACAAUAAAUUUCGUCUCUUGACACAAAUGUCUGCAGGAAAGCAGUAUUUAGAACAUGCACCAAAGUAUUUAGCAUUUACCUGUGGACUAAUCAGAGGAGGACUAUCGAAUUUGGGAAUAAAGAGUAUUGUAACAGCUGAAGUUUCAUCAAUGCCUGCAUGUAAAUUUCAGGUGAUGAUACAGAAGAUGUAGAGCACAUUCAAAUCUGGGUAUCUACCUUAAAAAUCCUUGUGUGUGGAUUCAGUUUCUUGGUUCAGCUUUGUAUGUAGCUUGUAAAUUAUAGCAGUGCGCAGGCAGCACAAUUUCAAAAUAUAUAAUAAAAAGUUCAUCAAAAUAACUUAACACUAUCCUUGUAUCUUGGUAUGAAAUUUAUUCUAUACCAAGGUAUUAAUGUCCACAUUGUAAAAAAACUGUCUACUCAAAAGUUUUCAACAAAUUAUUUAAAUUACCAAAACAGCACAUAUGGAAGACCAGAGGCAUGUUUUGAGAACAGAGUGAAAGCCUGACCAAGACUAAAUUAGACUAAGAAACUAAUGCGUUUUGUGUCACCUAACAUGAAUGCCCAACUGCUACCUUUCCCUAUUCACUCUGAACUGUGAGGCAGCAAUUGCUUUUGUAUUAUUCUGAGGAAGCCAUUAGCAUGUGAACCAACAGCCUUCAUUAAUGGCAUUCAGUGGAGGCUUAGUUCCUCUGUAGGAAUGAUAUGUAGAAGAGAGAACUUACUUCUACAUAGUUAAACAGUUUCUCCUACCUCCCUAAAAUUAGGAGCUAUUUUUUGUGUCAAUAAUUUUACAGCUAAGGUCAUCUCUACUGGCCAGAGAAGGAAAUUUGUUUUAGCUUGUUGUGCGUAAACUCAGUAUUAAUGUAAUUGUUUUUAAUUGAUAGCUACAACUCACUUCUGUAAUGAAUGUGUGCAGGAAGAUGAUUAGGCCUGCAAGAAGCUAUAAAGACAUCACCAAGACUCUUGAGGACAUUGGGGUUUGCUAGAUACUACUUGUUACAAGAUUUGCGUAACAAUACAUAUCUUGCUAUAGGUAAGAAUGGAAACAUCUUGUUAAAACUUUUAAUGAAUUUUGCUGUAAGACCUUUCUGUUGGCAGGCUCAGGCCUUAUACUUUCAAAUGAAUCAUAAUAGAAACUGUUUAUUCUGAACUGUGAGAAUGCCUUGUGACAGUGAUUCAGUUUCUACUUUGAGAGCAGUAACAGGCUAACUAGAAAAGCUAACACGUUAAAACAGCACCUUUGAUUGUUAUAACUACCUUCUGUGUUGGGAGAAGUAUAUGUUGUCCAGUUGCAUGGUGGGCAAGAACAGUGGAGGCUGCUCUUCCCUAAGCUCUAGGGAAGGUCUGAAGUUUGCAAUGGAUCAAACCUUGUCUAGAUAGCUGUUACAAGCUGCCAAGCUAUAAAUUAUAAAUGUUAUAACCAGGAGUUUAUUAGACUUGAUCUUAAGAUGUGACCAAAUGCUGAUCUUUCUGGCUAUGUGAAUGCUAGUUCAGAUUAGCUGUAGCUGAGUAACUUGACAGUUCUAGGAAACAUCUAGAGCAGAAUGUGAACUAGCAGAAUGCUGUCCCUGUUUAUAGAACUAGCAAAGAUGAAAGUAACUACAGUCGUGUGGUACUUAGUGGGGGAUCAGCUGUUCAGCUGAUUAAAAAUGCUGGGUUCUUAUACUGGUAGUUUAUAGGAAGCCUGGGGUUGUUAGUAAGCUAACUAGUAUUCUUAUAUUUCAUGGGUUCUUCAAUUGCCAACUCAUCCUGAUUUCAACAUGCUGAAAAUGUGGCUGAAGAGACUAGAAAUCAACUUGCACUACGUGUCUAAUAGAGUGACAUCUCAGUGUCAUCACAUUUUAGGCAUCUGCAAUGUGGUAGACAUUCAGUAUCAACACAUACAGAAUCAUUGUUACUUGCAUAUCCAGAAUGAAAACUCUAGUAGUUGUAGUAACUCAGUUUGAUUUUUCACUUGACAGUUCAAUACUACCAUUCCGGAUGCAAAAGUGCCAAUCAUUCAAAGACAUAUUAAAGGUUUAUCAGUAAGUGGUUGUGGUUAAUGAUUAUUUUUAAUAGUGAGGAGAGGGACUUAAAUCCUACAAUAUACAGAAAGCAGAUGUCAGUUAAUACUGUGUAUCAAUUUGCUGCUAUCAGCAGAACUCACAGUUCCUUUCACAUGGAUUUUUAGUUGUUGAAGACAAUUUGAACCAGAGGGAGUUGUGUAUGUACCAAGCAGAUGCUGAUACUCUUGGCAAAGCACUCCAUGUUAAAUAGGCAAGCUAAUGUAUUUUUCAAGAUACCAUACAGAAAAUAAAUUUGUUCAUUCUGUUUAAUAUAUGCUUCUAUUAAAAGCAUUGAAUACAGCUCUGUAAUUUUCACUGGUUUCUGCAACUGUUUACUAAAAAAUAAUAAAACAUAAACAUUA